GAAAGGCCAAUCAAACACGGAAAUAGCUCGUACUCCCCGAAAUGCUUUUAGGAGCAGCGUAUGGGUGAGUUUAUCAGAGGUAGAGCUACCAAUUGGACUAGGGGGAGUCACAUCCUACCAAAUCCAGAUGAACUCCGAAUGCUGAUAAAUAUACCAUACAGUGAGGGUUGGGGUGCUAAGGUCCCAAUCCGAGAGGGAAAGAACCCAGACCUUCAGCUAAGGUCCCAAAAUCUAUACUAAGUUGAACUAAGGCGGUCCAGUUGCUUA
rnacentral:rRNA from 15 species